rnacentral:rRNA from 1 species
AACGAACGUUGGCGGCGUGGAUUAGGCAUGCAAGUCGAGCGAGAUCAAUUUAUUUUAAUUCUUCGGAAGAGAAAUUUAUUGUGAGAGCGGCGAACGGGUGAGUAAUAUAUGGGUAAUUUACCUCUUUGUUCGGGAUAGCCAUCGGAAACGAUGAUUAAUACCGAAUGUGUUCAGGAACUGCAUAGUUCCAUAUAUAAAGGCGGGGAUCUUCGGACCUGUCGCAAAGAGAUAAGCCCAUAUCCUAUCAGCUUGUUGGUGAGGUAAUGGCUCACCAAGGCUUACGGGUAGCUGGUCUGAGAGGAUGGUCAGCCACACUGGGACUGAGACACUGCCCAGACUCCUACGGGAGGCUGCAGUCGAGAAUCAUUGUCAAUGCACGAAAGUGUGAACAUGCGACGCCGCGUGGAGGAUGACGGCCUUAGGGUUGUAAACUCCUGUCAGCAGGAAGGAAUAAUUAAUUAGUUAAUACCUAUUUAAUUUGACAGUACCUGCAGAGGAAGUCACGGCUAACUCUGUGCCAGCAGCCGCGGUAAUACAGAGGUGGCGAACGUUGUUCGGAUUUACUGGGCGUAAAGGGUCCGUAGGCGGCUUGGUGUGUCGGAUGUGAAAGCUCACAGCUCAACUGUGGAAUUGCAUUCGAAACUGCCGAGCUAGAGUACUGGAGGGGGAGAAGGGAACACUUGGUGUAGCGGUGAAAUGCGUAGAUAUCAAGUGGAACACCGGAGGCGAAGGCGCUUCUCUGGACAGAUACUGACGCUCAUGGACGAAAGUUAGGGUAGCGAAAGGGAUUAGAUACCCCUGUAGUCCUAACCGUAAACGGUGUGCACUAGGGCGUGGGAGGCUUUACCCCCUUCCGUGUCUGAGCUAACGCAUUAAGUGCACCGCCCUGGGGAGUACGGUCGCAAGAUUAAAACUCAAAGGAAUUGACGGGGACCCGCACAAGCCGGUGGAGCAUGCGGCUUAAUUCGAUGCAACGCGAAGAACCUUACCUGGGCUU